rnacentral:misc_RNA from 1 species
UAGAGACAACAUUCCUUAGGCUAAG